rnacentral:misc_RNA from 1 species
AACGCACAUUGCGCCCCUCGGUAUCCCGGGGGGCAUGCCUGUUCGAGCGUCAUUUCUACCACUCAAGUUUACUUGGUAUUGGGCACUGUGGCCCCCUUUAAAAAGGGGCAACACGCCUUAAAUUUAGCCGGCAGCAAGCACUAGUUCCGAGCGUAGCAGUAAAACAUUUCGCUUUGGGGGCUUUAGAGCAUUGUUCACCGUAUAGUUUACUACAGUUUGACCUCGGAUCAGGCAGGGAUACCCGCUGAACUUAA